GACAAAUCUCCGCAUUGAGGGUCAAACAGGAUCUGGCUUUACUGUGGGCUACCUGCCCGUAUUUAUGCAGGUCUCCAACUUGGUGGACACUCCCCUAGGGGACCAAAUGGGAGACUGGAAUUACAGAUGGACAUGAGGGCAUAACAGACAUACAGUCACAAGCUUUUCCCACAAUGCAGUAUGUUUUCCUCCCCUCUGCCCUGGAGAUAAUUGGGAAGUAAUUUAAUUAUCUCCAGGACAAAGACACAUCGCCA